rnacentral:rRNA from 1 species
CCUACGGGAGGCAGCAGUGGGGAAUAUUGGACAAUGGGGGCAACCCUGAUCCAGCCAUGCCGCGUGUGUGAAGAAGGCCCUCGGGUUGGAAAGCACUUUCAGUGAGGAAGAACGCCUGGUGGUUAAUACCCAUCAGGAAAGACAUCACUCACAGAAGAAGCACCGGCUAACUCCGUGCCAGCAGCCGCGGUAAUACGGAGGGUGCGAGCGUUAAUCGGAAUUACUGGGCGUAAAGCGCGCGUAGGUGGCUUGAUAAGCCGGUUGUGAAAGCCCCGGGCUCAACCUGGGAACGGCAUCCGGAACUGUCAAGCUAGAGUGCAGGAGAGGAAGGUAGAAUUCCCGGUGUAGCGGUGAAAUGCGUAGAGAUCGGGAGGAAUACCAGUGGCGAAGGCGGCCUUCUGGACUGACACUGACACUGAGGUGCGAAAGCGUGGGUAGCAAACAGGAUUAGAUACCCUGGUAGUC